rnacentral:rRNA from 1 species
GUAAAAGUCGUAACAAGGUGUUCCGUAGGUGAACCUGCGGAAGGAUC